AGGCAGCAGGGACUCUGCUCUCCUCGUUUGGAUUAAUUCUGAUAUAAUAACUGUUGGUUUAUUUAUCGGUGGAGCAGCAGAACCUUUUCCACAGACAGUUUUUCUGCCCGUUGUCUUGUUUUAACCAGUUUUCUACCUUCGGCUGAUUCUACCAGCAGACACUGAAAGGUCUGUGAUAGUUCGAGUGAAAGUAGCAGUUCCUCCUGAAGGUCAGAGAUUGCAGCAUCUGAGGGCCUCUUCAAAAGAAGACGUAGUUGAUGAAGGCGUUCUGGAGCAGGACCAGAAAGACCACGACCAAGCAGCCUUGAGAUCUUAGACAGCGUCUCCCUGAGGUCCCUCUCUAUCUCCCUACACAUCCACCAACCACUGGAACACAUCUCCAAAGUUCUACUGGGCCAGCUCAGCUUCCCCUCAGAAGAAGUGCUGCCACCUGCCAGAUGAAGGAGCCUUUUGAGAGGCAGCUGGCAUCGUGAUUGGACUGUACUUUGGUCUGUUCCAAUCCAGCUUCAGCUCCAGAGACGGCAGGCGGGACGAGUCAACGGAGGCCGGGUGGACGAAGGCAUGCAGCUGAGUACAAUCCAGAAAACAACAGAGGAGGAGUGCAGGGGUCCAGGGCCAAAACAGAGUAGCAUCGUAUGUCUCUUAGAAAACAUCAUAGUAUAGCCUUUGCUAUGAAAAAACGCUAUCAUAUACAUCGUGUAUUGUACAAAUAACAAGUCAAAGGAAAGAGACAUACAUUGUAGAAUUGUAGUAAUUGUGGGCUGACUGAUUUACUGAUUAUCAGUAUUUUAUUUUUUACUGAUUUAUGGUAAUAAAUACAUUUUAAAAUGGU